CAAAAACACAUCGACAGUAAUCCCUCGUUUAUCGUGGGGGUUACAUUCCAAAAAAGAACCCGUGAUAAGUGAAAUCUGCUAAAUAAUCAUCUUUAUUAUAUAUACAGUAUAUAUAUAUAUAUUUUUAAUUAUUUCAUAUAGAAAGAUUGUAUUGAAUGACACCAACGACUAAACUGUUUUUCAGGCAUAAAAAAAAAAUGCUUUCUUAAAAACAAUUUACUCGGUAACUGGUAUUGUAUUUAGACAUACUGUACGUUUCGUCAACAUUGCGUGUUUUGUCAUGGAGAAAAUUUGGCAAGCUCUAUAGUGAUGCGACGCGAAAACUGUUUAGUCUACACUUUGCCAAUCAGGAUGCAGAACAAAAUGCACUGGCCCCAUAAAUAAAUAUAUAAAUACAUAAGAAAUAAAUUGCAGGAAAAAAAUCCUGAAAAGAUGAAGCGUGUUAUAGCGAGGGAUUACUGUCUACUGCAGUUAUA